AUACGGAGGAUCCGAGCGUUAUCCGGAUUUAUUGGGUUUAAAGGGAGCGUAGGUGGAUUGUUAAGUCAGUUGUGAAAGUUUGCGGCUCAACCGUAAAAUUGCAGUCGAAACUGGCAGUCUUGAGUACAGUAGAGGUGGGCGGAAUUCGUUGUGUAGCGGGGAAAUGCAUAGAUAUGACGAAGAACACCGAUUGCGUAGGCAGCUGACCAGACCGCAAAUGACGCUCAUGCACGAAAGUGCGGGGAUCGAACAGGAUUAGAUACCCUGGUAGUCCGCACAGUAAACGAUGAAUACUUGUUUUCGGCGAUAUAAUGUCGGAGGCAAAGCGAAAGCGAUAAGUAUUCCACCUGGGGAGUACGCCGGCAACGGUGAAACUCAAAUGAAUUGGCGGGG
rnacentral:rRNA from 1 species